rnacentral:rRNA from 1 species
ACAUGCAAGUCGAACGGUAACAGGAAUCAGCUUGCUGAUUCGCUGACGAGUGGCGGACGGGUGAGUAAUGUCUGGGAAACUGCCUGAUGGAGGGGGAUAACUACUGGAAACGGUAGCUAAUACCGCAUAACGUCGCAAGACCAAAGAGGGGGACCUUCGGGCCUCUUGCCAUCGGAUGUGCCCAGAUGGGAUUAGCUAGUAGGUGGGGUAACGGCUCACCUAGGCGACGAUCCCUAGCUGGUCUGAGAGGAUGACCAGCCACACUGGAACUGAGACACGGUCCAGACUCCUACGGGAGGCAGCAGUGGGGAAUAUUGCACAAUGGGCGCAAGCCUGAUGCAGCCAUGCCGCGUGUAUGAAGAAGGCCUUCGGGUUGUAAAGUACUUUCAGCGGGGAGGAAGGGAGUAAAGUUAAUACCUUUGCUCAUUGACGUUACCCGCAGAAGAAGCACCGGCUAACUCCGUGCCAGCAGCCGCGGUAAUACGGAGGGUGCAAGCGUUAAUCGGAAUUACUGGGCGUAAAGCGCACGCAGGCGGUUUGUUAAGUCAGAUGUGAAAUCCCCGGGCUCAACCUGGGAACUGCAUCUGAUACUGGCAAGCUUGAGUCUCGUAGAGGGGGGUAGAAUUCCAGGUGUAGCGGUGAAAUGCGUAGAGAUCUGGAGGAAUACCGGUGGCGAAGGCGGCCCCCUGGACGAAGACUGACGCUCAGGUGCGAAAGCGUGGGGAGCAAACAGGAUUAGAUACCCUGGUAGUCCACGCCGUAAACGAUGUCGACUUGGAGGUUGUGCCCUUGAGGCGUGGCUUCCGGAGCUAACGCGUUAAGUCGACCGCCUGGGGAGUACGGCCGCAAGGUUAAAACUCAAAUGAAUUGACGGGGGCCCGCACAAGCGGUGGAGCAUGUGGUUUAAUUCGAUGCAACGCGAAGAACCUUACCUGGUCUUGACAUCCACAGAACUUUCCAGAGAUGGAUUGGUGCCUUCGGGAACUGUGAGACAGGUGCUGCAUGGCUGUCGUCAGCUCGUGUUGUGAAAUGUUGGGUUAAGUCCCGCAACGAGCGCAACCCUUAUCCUUUGUUGCCAGCGGUCCGGCCGGGAACUCAAA